rnacentral:rRNA from 1 species
UAGUCUGGUGCCAGCAGCCGCGGUAAUUCCAGCUCCAAUAGCGUAUAUUAAAGUUGUUGCAGUUAAAACGCUCGUAGUCGGAUUUCGGGGCAGGUUUGCCGGUCUGCCGAUGGGUAUGCACUGGUAGAACUGUCCUUCCUUCCGGAGACGGCGCCUACUCUUAACUGAGCGGGUGUCGGAGACGGAUCGUUUACUUUGAAAAAAUCAGAGUGUUUCAAGCAGGCAGCUCGCUUUUGCAUGGAUUAGCAUGGGAUAAUGAAAUAGGACUUUGGUGCUAUUUUGUUGGUUUCGAACACCGAAGUAAUGAUUAACAGGGACAGUCAGGGGCACUCGUAUUCCGCCGAGAGAGGUGAAAUUCUUAGACCAGCGGAAGACGAACCACUGCGAAAGCAUUUGCCAGGGAUGUUUUCACUGAUCAAGAACGAAAGUUAGGGGAUCGAAGACGAUCAGAUACCGUCGUAGUCUUAACCAUAAACCAUGCCGACUAGGGAUUGGAGGAUGUUCCUAUGUGACUCCUUCAGCACCUUUCGGGAAACUAAAGUCUUUGGGUUCCGGGGGGAGUAUGGUCGCAAGGCUGAAACUUAAAGGAAUUGACGGAAGGGCACCACCAUGGCGUGGAGCCUGCGGCUUAAUUUGACUCAACACGGGGAAACUUACCAGGUCCAGACACAAUAAUGAUUGACAGAUUGAUAGCUCUUUCUUGAUUCUGUGGGUGGUGGUGCAUGGCCGUUCUU